UUUUCUUUCUAUAUGAAUUUUGCAGUUUUGAAUUAUGUUAAUUAGAUAGAUUUGCAAAUAACACAUGAAUUAGGGAUAAUUGUUACGCAAACCUGUUUGGAUUGUGAUGUGUGUAUCCCUUUAUAUAUUGACCUAGUUUUGUGAUUUGAUACAGAAAGCUAUUCAUUCUCUUAGAUUACUCAAUUCCAAGUUAUCUCGAAAAUCCAACAGCAUGCCGCUGUUUGAAAUAAUAUAUCACCUUGGUGUUACUGGAGUGAGGCAACUAGCAAGCCUAUAGCUUGUGCCAUGAGAAAAGGUGUCAACAUGCAUCCCAGCCUCCAACGAACCCUUGCUCAAACAGCUAAGACUCACAAAACAGAGGAAAAGGAAGUCAUAGAGAAGGUUGCUCAGCAUCUCGUUAUCCAUACGAUAGCACUCAGCGCAUUGGUCUACUAUAUUACAUCAAAUGAUCAAGAUAUUGAACGAAAGCAGAAGCAGUUGGAUGAGCUGAAACAAGAAGCGCAAGAACUGGACCAAAAGUUAUUAGAGUACCAGAAUAGGAUACGACUUUUGUAUGAAUAAAUCUCUCAGUAUAGACUGCUCAUUCUUCUCUUCUAUUGCAAUUGGGACCAAAUUGAUUUCUGGGUAGAAUUUAAAGUUUCUUUUUUGGAAAAUUCCUGUAACGCCUAUUUAUUUAAUACUUCCUUUUUUGUUCCA